GGACGCGUAGCUCAGUUGGUUAGAGCACUGCCCUCACAUGGCAGGGGUCACAGGUUCGAAUCCUGUCGCGUCCACCA
rnacentral:tRNA from 1 species